GGCGGAUAAAAAUAAAAAACUGGUAAAAAAAAAAAAUAACCAGCUGAUAUCAAGGAGAUAAACUUGAUAAUUUAAACUACAAUAACCAAUAACACGGCAAGUAGAGUACAUGGACCAGUAGUGGUGUGCGUUGUACCAAAGUCACAACCAACCUUGUCCUCAGGUUGCCCAUCUCUGUCAGCCGGGUGCAUCCAGUUAAUGUCGAGACCGUCGAAGCUGUAGGUCUUGAGCAUCUCGACGGCGCUUCCGACGAAGAUUUUCCUUUUACUAGCAUCUCCGGAUAACUGUGAUAUGUGUCAGAGUGUAAAUAAGGUGGACGUAGAGAUCUCGGCGAAGCCAUAGACCAGAACUCACCGGAGAGGGACAGCCCCGCAACCACAAUGAAAGUCGAUGCCACAAGCGUUAGCAUCGUGAGUGUGGGCUGCACUGGGUUACCUUGUGACUACUGAUCCCGGUUUGUUCGUGGAGUGCUAAAGGGCAGGUUCAGGAAGCCCUCGUUCAUGGACCUGAUGAGGUUGUAGGGCCGCCCCGUGCAGGACCCCGAGAAGUCGUCCGUCUCCAGACUCCACACCAUCGUCCCCGCCAGGCCUUGGCUCCGGGCGUACUGACCCUGGGGAGGAUAUCGCGCUGUUUGACCGUCUCUCUCUCUCUCUCUUUCUCUCUUCAUUUCUCCUUCCUCCUCUCCCCUCUCUUCUGCCUCUUUUACCAACUUUGGCCAUAAAAAAACUACUAGGACUUGGGAAGGUUUGCUAUUACCAACACAAAAGGAGGUGAUGAGCACAAACAUCACAUUAAUAUUUACGCCUAAAAUCCAAUAAAAAACAUAACAUCAAUACAAUAUAUAAGAAGGAAAGGGAUAGAUGGGGGAUAAAAAGGGCAAAGGAAAGGAUGUUUGAAGGAAAAGGAAGAGAGAGAGAGUAGGGCGAAAAAUAGAAGAGGGGAAAGAAUGGCAAGGAGGAAGAAGUGUACAAAGUAUCUCAAAAUACCAGAAGUACUAAACGAAUUCAAAACCACAAUCGGAUGAACGGACACUGCCACAGUAUAAACGAAGUGAAAACAGACAUAUCCUGGCAAAAAAGAGAGAGAGAGAGAGAGAGAGAGAGAGAGAGAGAGAGAGAAGGGCUACUUAGUUUUAGAAAUAUAUGCAGAAGGAAAUAGGUGAUGAAGUGAUACAAAAAUACGACGAAAGGAAAAAAAUAGAAAAAAAAUGAAGAAGAAAAGACAACAUACAAAUCCGACGCACAAAAAUAAAGAAAUAUAUAAGAAAUUCAAUAGAGAAGUGAAAAAGAAUACAAGUAAACAAAUUAAAUGUGGAAAAGGGAAAACUAAUGAUAAAUGUAAAGACAGCAACCGGAACCGGAAGUAGCAAACACAUAUAUAAAAUAACACCACGAGAAUGGAAACCAAUAUCCACAACUGUCAAAAAUCCACAAAGAGAAAAUACAUCAAAGAAAGAACCUAAGACUACAAGGGGUGCUAUACCCGAAGGCAGACGUAGGAGUGCCAGGAGAAGACACCACCAUCUCCACGCCAUGAAAGAAGAGGCGGAAGGAAGCACCGGAAGCCAAGCAACAGGAAAAAAUAACUUACAGUGAGAAAUUCUUCAUGCAGAAGGGGACGCGUUUAAGAAGGGCAUAACAAAUGAUCCAAAGGAUACUGGAAGGAGGACAGACACAAAUCAAUGGGGAAAAUGCACAAUAAAUCUUAUAUACAAAAGAGGAGACAGAACCACGUGCGACAACUGUAAGUAAUAAUACAAUAAACCUUAAAUAAAAGAAGCAGCACCCUAUGUAAAAAAAAAUACAUAGCAAUCGGCCUGCUAUCACAUGCCUAUAAGGUGUUCACCAAAAUGAUAGAAAAUAGAAUUGAACUUAGAAAAUGGAUCUACCAAAAUGAUAAAUAACAUUUACUAAGGGACAUCGGCGAUAGUAAGAAAGUGCUACUUGAGAACAGAAGAACUCAAGACAAGUAAAAGAGCAUUGCAAGGAUAUUACAAGGGUGUUCAACAUAUAAGUUGAUGAUGAAGUCUUUGGGCGAGACAGAACACAGUAUCUAGAGAAAACGUAGGUUUUGAUGUAGAUGAUAUCGAAUAACUACGGAAAACCUCGAUGAACUAAGCGAAAUGGCAAGAAAGUAGAAAACCUGCACAGAAUACAAAUUACAAAUUAAUGUAUAAAAACCAAGUCUGUGAACAUCAGUAGGAGACAAAAAAUAUAACCGACCCUGCCACAGGACAAGAAGAGCAAGACUGUAAGCACCAGAGUACCUAUUUUACAGAAGUUAGACGCAGAUAGACCGAUAAAAGAGGCUGAAUAUACAGAGAGGAGAAUGCAGAUUAAAAAAAAAAAGUUAGGAUAAAGAAGACUUGGAAAACGCAAGAUAUCGAAGUGUAAGAAAAUAUAUUGUCUUUUUGGAUACCAAAAAGAUAGGUCAUAUAAACCCCUACGCUUCGAAACGCCUGAGAAUAGACCAAUCUAACAUCAUGUGAGAGGACAGAAUCACUAAUAAUAAGAGGAGCAGGAAUGAAGAUGACGGAGUGACGGGGUAAGAGAGAAUAAAUGACAUGCAAGAGAAGAUAAUGAAGAUUGGGAUAUUUGGAAACAGUUUUGCUAUUCUAGCGAUUUUCCUGCUAGAUCUAGAGUUUGUCACUUAUGAUCUAGCGGGAAUAUUCUGAAAGUUUACUCUGCAUUUAGCAGUCACAUUAUAUGGGAAAUGAAGAGCUUUAUUCUUA